UUCAGACAACACGCAGAAAGUCCACUUCUGCAGCUCAAGUUCCAAGGAGAACAACAGCGCUCGCUGCUGCAAAGAUGAGAGAAUGGGCACAUGCAUGUGGGUAUGCUGUGAAGACUCAAAAAGGUUGCAUGGACCCCACAGGAUUCCAGAUCUGACAUCAACCUUGAUGAGGGGCCAGUGACAGUGCACAUGCUACACCUACGCAGCUCCUGCUGCGUUCAAGACACCUGGGAGCUGAGAAGUUUCUGACUUAAAUGUUGAAAAGAAUCUGAAUAGCCUCCAAAAGUGUACCGGUCAUUUCCUUUUCAGGAAAUCUGGAGUUUCAGUUUCUCUUUGUGUCUAACAAUGUGACAUUCAAUACCUGCUUAUAAACCCAGCGUCUUACAGUUGAGAUACACCUGUAAAAUUUUUUUUAAUCCAGUGCAUCUGCCUUGCAAAGACAACAUCUUUGAAUAAUAAAUCAUUGUGACAU